rnacentral:misc_RNA from 1 species
AACGCACAUUGCGCCCCGUGGUAUUCCGCGGGGCAUGCCUGUUCGAGCGUCAGUACAACACUCAAGCUCUGCUUGGUCUUGGGCCGCGUCAGUUCUGACCGGCCUUAAAAUCAGUGGCGGUGCCAUCGUGCUCUAAGCGUAGUAAUACUCCUCGCUACAGGGUCUCGGUGCGUGCUGGCCAGCAACCCCCAACUUUCUAAGUUUGACCUCGGAUCAGGUAGGGAUACCCGCUGAACUUAA